GCCAGAGUGGCGAAAUUGGUAGACGCGCAGGAUUUAGGAUCCUGUGCCUGAAAAGGCUUGGGAGUUCAACUCUCCCCUCUGGCA
rnacentral:tRNA from 1 species